AGCGAACGCUGGCGGCAGGCCUAACACAUGCAAGUCGAACGAACUUUUCGGAGUUAGUGGCGGACGGGUGAGUAACACGUGGGAACGUGCCUUUAGGUUCGGAAUAACUCAGGGAAACUUGUGCUAAUACCGAAUGUGCCCUUCGGGGGAAAGAUUUAUCGCCUUUAGAGCGGCCCGCGUCUGAUUAGCUAGUUGGUGAGGUAACGGCUCACCAAGGCGACGAUCAGUAGCUGGUCUGAGAGGAUGACCAGCCACACUGGGACUGAGCCACGGCCCAGACUCCUACGGGAGGCAGCAGUGGGGAAUCUUGCGCAAUGGGCGAAAGCCUGACGCAGCCAUGCCGCGUGAAUGAUGAAGGUCUUAGGAUUGUAAAAUUCUUUCACCGGGGACGAUAAUGACGGUACCCGGAGAAGAAGCCCCGGCUAACUUCGUGCCAGCCGCCGCCGAAACAC
rnacentral:rRNA from 1 species